rnacentral:rRNA from 1 species
AUGAACGCUGGCGGCGUGCCUAAUACAUGCAAGUCGAGCGAACGGACGAGAAGCUUGCUUCUCUGAUGUUAGCGGCGGACGGGUGAGUAACACGUGGAUAACCUACCUAUAAGACUGGGAUAACUUCGGGAAACCGGAGCUAAUACCGGAUAAUAUUUUGAACCGCAUGGUUCAAUAGUGAAAGACGGCCUUGCUGUCACUUAUAGAUGGAUCCGCGCUGCAUUAGCUAGUUGGUAAGGUAACGGCUUACCAAGGCAACGAUGCAUAGCCGACCUGAGAGGGUGAUCGGCCACACUGGAACUGAGACACGGUCCAGACUCCUACGGGAGGCAGCAGUAGGGAAUCUUCCGCAAUGGGCGAAAGCCUGACGGAGCAACGCCGCGUGAGUGAUGAAGGUCUUCGGAUCGUAAAACUCUGUUAUUAGGGAAGAACAUAUGUGUAAGUAACUGUGCACAUCUUGACGGUACCUAAUCAGAAAGCCACGGCUAACUACGUG